CACUAGGUCCAGCCCACACCCAAGAGCCAGGGGAAUUAAGCUCUACCUCUUAAAGGGAGGAAGAAAGAAUUUGUGGGCAUAUUUAAAAACCAUCACACAUCUCCACGUAACCCAGUGAUACCAAGAAGACCUGAGAAUUAAGAAAAGAGAAUGGCAAGACUAAAGAAUUUCUGAGACCCUGGAUUACCAGGCUACAGAAAGAUGGGAGAAAUAACGUCUUACCAAGAUGUACACUUUGCCAUCAUGACCUUGAAUAGUGAAUCUAAAAGUGCUUCUAGCAGUGGAGAGUUCCACCAGACACUGGGCGAUAACACUCUGUACAAACUGGGACCUGUUUGAACAGAAAUCAAUUUUCACAAUGUGCCUCUCAUAAUAACUCUCACUGGCAAGAGGAACCAAAAAUACCCACAGGGUACCUAAAAGGCAGAGGCGUGUGCAGCCAGACUUUUCUAUAUGCUGCUCAUUCCUUCACAGACUGUGCUAAUGUGGAUUUUAAUAUAUUUUAAUGUAUUUGUGUUUGCUCCAGUCUUCUUAUAACCUAUUCUCCAAUCCUUAAUACAUUUCCCACCCUGAACCUAACUAUUCCCUGACUGAAUAAAAAAAAUACUGUAUUAGACAUGUUAAUAUUCCACUUGUGCUAUAGCACAUUAAAAAGUGAGUUAAAAAAGAAGGCGAGAUGCUUCCUCCCAAACAUUAGACAUCUACAAUGAUUUCCAUUUGGACCCCCUCAAAAAGUCAGAGCUGAGGUACAGAAUCAAAGUAUUUACAGGAGGAUAAAUUUUAAGGUUAAAAUCAGAUUGCCAUAAUUUUCAGAUAUCCAUAAAUGAAUUGAAAGAUAUGCUACAAUUAACUUCUGUUUGCAAACUAAAAAGAUUCCAAGAAAGAAAACACUAGUGGAUUUAGUGGCUAAGUAACAUUUUUAAAAAAAACACAGGAGUUGUUUGAAAACUGACCCACGUUUCACAUUUUAAAUAAGUCAAAUUAAAACAGAAAUAAUUAUUCAAAACCUAUUGGUGAUUAGGUUGUAAGAACUUGGAUAUCUGGCAAAUAGAAGCACAAAAAGCUUUCAGAAUUUGAAGAUGUUAAUAUAAGCACAUUUGUUUAUGCCAAUUUGUAAGCAAGCCAUAAAUGAAUCCUCAAAUCUUGUA